rnacentral:rRNA from 1 species
AGGAUGAACGCUGACGGCGUGCCUAACACAUGCAAGUCUAGGAGAACGUUAUCUUCGGAUAACUAUUAAACUGGCGAACGGGUGAGUAACGCGUAGAUUAUCUGCCUCCAGCUCCAACAUAACACAGGGAAACUUGUGCUAAUAUUGGAUGUGGCAAUUUAUUGUCAAAGCUUCGGCGGCUGGAGAUGAGUCUGCGUCUGAUUAGCUAGUUGGUAAGGUAAUGGCUUACCAAGGCUACGAUCAGUAGCGGGUUUGAGAGGACGAUCCGCCACACUGGAACUGAGACACGGUCCAGACUCCUACGGGAGGCAGCAGUGAGGAAUUUUGGUCAAUGGGGGCAACCCUGAACCAGCGACGCCGUGUGUGGGAUGACGGGGCUAUGCUCUGUAAACCACUGUCAGAUGGGAAGAAAAGGCUCCUCGGGGGCCUGGGACUGUACCAUCAGAGGAAGGACCGGCUAACUACGUGCCAGCAGCCGCGGUAAUACGUAGGGUCCAAGCGUUAUCCGGAAUUACUGGGUAUAAAGGGUGCGUAGGCGGACUUGUGCGUCUAAGGUUAAAUACCACGGCUUAACCGUGGAAAUGCCUUGGAUACGGCAAGUCUUGAGUGUGAGAGAGGAAGGUAGAAUUCCUGGUGUAGCGGUGAAAUGCGUAGAUAUCAGGAGGAAUACCAGUUGCGAAGGCGGCCUUCUGGCUCAUUACUGACGCUCAGGCACGAAAGCGUGGGGAGCGAACAGGAUUAGAUACCCUGGUAGUCCACGCCCUAAACGAUGUAUGCUUGGUGUUGGGUCUUAGGACUCAGUGCCGGAGGAAAUCCGUUAAGCAUACCACCUGGGGAGUACGAUCGCAAGGUUGAAACUCAAAGGAAUUGACGGGGGCCCGCACAAGCGGUGGAUUAUGUGGUUUAAUUCGAUGCAACGCGAAGAACCUUACCCGGGCUUGAAGUGCAGUGGACGAUCCUUGAAAGGGGAUUUUUCUUCGGAACUGCUGCAUAGGUGCUGCAUGGUUGUCGUCAGCUCGUGCCGUGAGGUGUUGGGUUAAGUCCCGCAACGAGCGCAACCCCUAUCUCUAGUUGCCAGCACGUUAAGGUGGGAACUCUAGAGAGACUGCCCGCGCAAGCGGUGAGGAAGGUGGGGAUGACGUCAAAUCAUCAUGGCCCUUAUGUCCGGGGCUACACACGUAAUACAAUGGUUGGUACAAUGGGUGAAGCCGCAAGGUGGAGGAAAUCCAUAAAGCCAAUCUCAGUUCGGAUUGGAGUCUGCAACUCGACUCCAUGAAGUUGGAAUCGCUAGUAAUCGUAGGUCAGCAUACUACGGUGAAUACGUUCCCGGGCCUUGUACACACCGCCCGUCAAGCCAUGGAAGCCGGAGGUGCCCGAAGCGGUAUUUUAAUACCGUUAAGGCAAAUUUGGUAACUAGGGCU